GACGAACGCUGGCGGCGUGCUUAACACAUGCAAGUCGAACGGAAAGGCCCUGCUUUUGUGGGGUGCUCGAGUGGCGACCGGGUGAGUAACACGUGAGUAACCUGCCCUUGCCUUUGGGAUAACUUCAGGAAACUGGGGCUCAUACCGGCUAGGAGCUCCUGCUGCAUGGUGGGGGUUGGAAAGUUUCGGCGGUUGGGGAUGGACUCGCGGCUUAUCAGCUUGUUGGUGGGGUAGUGGCUUACCAAGGCUUUGACGGGUAGCCGGCCUGAGAGGGUGACCGGCCACAUUGGGACUGAGAUACGGCCCAGACUCCUACGGGAGGCAGCAGUGGGGAAUAGUGCACAAUGGGCGGAAGCCUGAUGCAGCAACGCCGCGUGCGGGAUGACGGCCUUCGGGUUGUAAACCGCUUUCGCCUGUGACGAAGCGUGAGUGACGGUAAUGGGUAAAGAAGCACCGGCUAACUACGUG
rnacentral:rRNA from 1 species